rnacentral:rRNA from 1 species
AACGAACGUUCGCGGCGCGCCUAACACAUGCAAGUCGAGCGAGAAAGGGCUUCGGCCCCGGUACAGCGGCGCACGGGUGAGUAACACGUAGGCAAUCUGCCCCUGAGUGGGGGAUAACCUUCCGAAAGGAGGGCUAAUACCGCAUGAGACCACGACCCCGCGAGGGGAUGAGGUCGAAGCCGGCCACUUCACGAAAGCUGGCGCUUGGGGAUGAGCCUGCGGCCCAUCAGCUAGUUGGUAGGGUAAUGGCCUACCAAGGCGAAGACGGGUAGCUGGUCUGGGAGGAUGAUCAGCCACACUGGAACUGAGACACGGUCCAGAAUCCGACGGGAGGCAGCAGUGGGGAAGCUUGCGCAAUGGGCGAAAGCCUGACGCAGCGACGCCGGGUGAGUGAUGAAGGCCUUCGGGUUGUAAAGCUCUGUGGAGGGAGACGAAUAAGGCACGGCUAACAUCCAUGUUGAUGACGGUAUCCCUUUAGCAAGCACCGGCUAACUCUGUGCCAGCCGCCGCGGUAACAC